UCCGAGUUGUCCCCGGCAGUCUCCUUAGAGUCCCCGGCAUUACCCGCUGGCAACUAAGGACAGGGGUUGCGCUCGUUGCGGCACUUAAGCCAACACCUCACGGCACGAGCUGACGACAGCCAUGCAGCACCUGUGCUCCGUCCAGCCGAACUGAAGGGUCCGAUCUCUCGGACCCGCGACGGGCAUGUCAAGGGCUGGUAAGGUUCUUCGCGUUGCUUCGAAUUAAACCACAUGCUCCGCUGCUUGUGCGGGUCCCCGUCAAUUCCUUUGAGUUUUAGCCUUGCGGCCGUACUCCCCAGGCGGGGCACUUAAUGCGUUAGCUACGGCACGGGAGGAAUCGACACCUCCCACACCUAGUGCCCAUCGUUUACGGCGUGGACUAC
rnacentral:misc_RNA from 1 species